GCUAUAUGCCCAAAAUUAGGGGGGCUGCACACGACUCGUUUGUGUGGAAGGCCUCCAAUGAGAGAAUGGUAAUGGAGCGACGAUACAACAGCGGAGAUACAAAUUCUUGGCUAUUAGGCGAUUCUGGAUACCCUCUUGAACCUUGGCUAAUGACCCCAUACCGAUUACGAGAAAAUGAAACUGACGCAAGUAAAUGUAUCUACAAUGAUAUACAUAGCAAAGCAAGGAGCGUUGUUGAAAGAAGCAUUGGGGUUUAUAAAGGGCGCUGGAGGAUAUUAUCUGACGACAGAAAGCCAAGGUAUAACCCAACAUUGGUUGCCAAAAUUGCAAACGUGUGUGCAGCUCUGCAUAAUGUGUGCAUCAGCCGCAAUGUUCAGUUUGAAAGCAAUAACGAAGCUGCAACUUCACGACAAGAAAGAGGGGUAGAUACCACUCCACCAGAAAUAGUUAACCGAGAAGCUGAAAGAAUAAGAAAUCGAAUAAAAGAACAUUUUUC